UACGUAGGGACCAAGCGUUGUUCGGAUUUACUGGGCGUAAAGAGCUCGUAGGCGGUUUGUCGCGUCUGCCGUGAAAGUCCGGGGCUCAACUCCGGAUCUGCGGUGGGUACGGGCAGACUAGAGUGAUGUAGGGGAGACUGGAAUUCCUGGUGUAGCGGUGAAAUGCGCAGAUAUCAGGAGGAACACCGGUGGCGAAGGCGGGUCUCUGGGCCGUAACUGACGCUGAGGAGCGAAAGCAUGGGGAGCGAACAGG
rnacentral:rRNA from 1 species